CUUCAGAAUCACAGUAGAAGUCUUGUGCAGUGAGUUUUACUUCGACCAGAUGAUAGAGUUCAUCUUCAUAGCAGGUUUCAGGAGUGAUGUUUGAUUUGUACCACAUGGUACAGAAGGCAUAUCCUGCUCCGUCAUGAAGGAGUGCUUGUCCAUCAUGAAAGGAUAGGUUGGGAUGCAUUUCCUUCUUGAUGGUGCCAGUGAGAAGAAAAACAUGUUUCGUCCAUGAUGAAUCCGUAGUAUACACCCCCCUCAGGGAGUGGCAGAAGAGUGGACGGAUUGAGAACUUGACAUCUUUGGAGGGUAAUGUUGUCAGGCAACAAAAGAUGACAUUGAAGGCGAAGAUGCCUGGCAGGAGUAACAUGCUUAAGCUGGACCUGGUUGACUAUGGCAGAAAUGUCAUGGGGGGCCAAGACAACCAGGGGGUGGCCAAGGACAAGAUCUCCAGUUCUUUCAAUGAGCUCUCUGGCAGCAAAGACGGCCCGAAGGCAAGAGGGACGUCCUCUGGCCACAAUAUCCAGUUGGCAGGAGAAAAAUCCAAUAGGUCCUUGGCGGCCUCCAGGACCAUGGGCCUGAGUGAGCACUCCUGUUGCAUGGCCUUGUCU